AUGGCCGCUCGCAUCGGCGCUGCUGUCCUCUGCAUGGUCUUGAUCAUCAGCGCGGGGCUCGUAGCCACGCCGACCGAAGCUCGCGCCGUGGCACACGUCCUCUAUGCUGCCGCGGUCACCAAUGCGGUCGGCGCUGCCAGCGGCGCCGGCGUUCGUCCGGGGAGGUGGAAUACCGCGAGGAGGCUGCAAGGAGACGCCGCUCACAAGCGGGAGGUGCCGGGCGGCCCGGACCCGGAGCACCAUCACUAG
rnacentral:rRNA from 1 species